rnacentral:lncRNA from 1 species
UCCGAUUGGCCAUACACUAAGCUAUUUUGUCCAGCAAUGAAAAGGUACAUGGGCCAUAGAAAUAAUAUUAGUUGGACGAGUCAACUUGUUCUUGCGUGACCAAGUAGAUUAAUAUUUUAUUCUGUAGUUUUUCUCUUCGUCAUUCUCAGUGACCACUAAGAACAUUCUUAGACAAACCAUUGGGGACCUUCACUCUAUGAUAACCACUGAUUUGCUUCAGUUGAAUCGAAGAUUAACUUAUCUUCUUUAAAGAUCAGAAAUUGUUCGCUACACAAUUAAAAGUUUGCUUAAGUUUCAUGUAAGAAACACGAAUCUCUUCAGAGAUUUCAAGAAAAGGAAAGGAUGAUCCUAAGACUAGAAGA